AACGCGAAGAACCUUACCUACUCUUGACAUCCACGGAACUUAGCAGAGAUGCUUUGGUGCCUUCGGGAACCGUGAGACAGGUGCUGCAUGGCUGUCGUCAGCUCGUGUUGUGAAAUGUUGGGUUAAGUCCCGCAACGAGCGCAACCCUUAUCCUUUGUUGCCAGCGAUUCGGUCGGGAACUCAAAGGAGACUGCCAGUGAUAAACUGGAGGAAGGUGGGGAUGACGUCAAGUCAUCAUGGCCCUUACGAGUAGGGCUACACACGUGCUACAAUGGCGCAUACAAAGAGAAGCGACCUCGCGAGAGCAAGCGGACCUCAUAAAGUGCGUCGUAGUCCGGAUUGGAGUCUGCAACUCGACUCCAUGAAGUCGGAAUCGCUAGUAAUCGUAGAUCAGAAUGCUACGGUGAAUACGUUCCCGGGCCUUGUACACACCG
rnacentral:rRNA from 1 species